rnacentral:misc_RNA from 1 species
GGUGUUUUCCUAUAAUCUAUACGUCUAUUUAUAAAAAGGUAAAUGACCUAGGACGACUUUUUUCAGUCGGGGAAAACAAAACAAGUCAAGUAGCUGAGGAAUGUCGUUUAGUUGAAAAUUAUUUAGAAAAACAAUUUCAUGUGAUGAUUUUACUACCCAACAGUAGAUCCAAAGUACAUAUUUUGAUAGUUUCGUUAUUGUAAACAAUUUGAAGAUCAUGCAGAAUGGCGUCCUCGAUCUAUGCAUGUAGGCCUACGUACUGCAAUAGACUUAAAUUAUAUAGAGGCAUCGAUCAAUAUUCUCCUGGAUUUUUUUAGAUUAAAAGCAAAAUUAGUUUGUGAAAUUAUCUUUAAAUUCUAACCCCCCUUCAGAGUCAGUAAAUACGUUGAUGCAUUAUUUUAAUUGAGAGAGACGCAGUUUAUUGAUGUCAUGUGUCCUUGACUUAAAAAGAUAACCCUUGCAUUUCAAAAUACCACCGAUUGUAAACAAAUUCUCAUUAACCUUGCCCAAGUUUUGCAGGUAAACACAAUAUAUUGAAUUUUUUCUCUACACCUGUAGGUACAAAUCGGUGAAAACAAACUUAGAGUGAAACUGAGCGUCCAUCAAUUUAAACCAGAAGACAUUACAGUGAAAAUUGAUAACAACAAACUUACAAUCUCUGGAAAACACGAGAAGAAAUCGGACGAGGGCCACAGUUAUUUCGCCCAGGAGUUCACCCAACAGUACACCAUACCAGAAGUAAGGCAUUCUUUUGUUGCUUUUUUAUUUAUUAAUUGCAAUUUAAAUUUCAAGCAAUGCGUAAUUUGCUUAACUUAUUAAUCAUGAUAUUUUUAAUUUUGUAGGGUAUUGACCAAGACAGUAUCAUCUCUACCUUCUCAGACGAAGGUGUUUUGUUAAUUCAGGGAAAACCCAAGAACUCCGGAACGGGUGAACCCCGAGAAAUCCCCAUCGACAGGGGCAACAAAGCCUAAGAGAAAGAAUUCAGAGAAAGAGACUCGAAUAAUACGAUUUUUUUUUCGCGUGAAUGUUUAGUGAAAUUCCCUGGCCAAGUAGCAGGAUAAAUUUACUUACUGUCUAGAUCUCAAUAAAAUUGGGAUAA